GAGACCAAUCCUAACGUCACCGUCUGCCACCGCCAGAAAUCGCCUACGGCGGCAGCGAGUCUCCAUUCCCCACCAACAUUACACCAUAUGUUCCCCUCCACUUCCCCAUCUCGAAUCCAUAAUUUUUUUUCCUCAAACAUACCCAGAAUUCCUCGAAUCUUCGUUUAAAAAAUGAAAGCUCUAGCGCCGUCACAAUUCUUCGGUGGCGGUGCUGUCUCCGUUCACAUCCAAAAUCCCACCAAAUUUUGACUCUAUGACCUACAUCACCUUCUCGUCCUCAUCCCACUGUUAGUUUCACCAACAGACCACCCGAUUUUGAUGAAUUUCAGAUUUGGGAAAUAAAAUUUGAACUUUCUCAAUUUUUGCCCAAAUGUUCUACUUAAG
rnacentral:lncRNA from 1 species